UUCUGUCCCUAUCACGUCUCCUUGUUGUGUUCAGUUUCCUCAAAGUUUGCAUUCUGGACCUUUGCCGUCUGCCUCCUAGGUCAGAAGGAUCGUCGCCCAACUGGCUUCAAGCCCUGAAACUGAAGAAGAAGAAGGUCUGAGAAGUCACUGAGGUUCUUCCCACCUGGCAGUCUCAGGCAGUGCCCAUUCCUGUGGGGUCCCUGGGUGAGGAGACGGCUGGAGCCCCACCAUGCCCCAGGCUGCAGCCUCUGUCCCCUCCACCUCUGAGGAGCGUCUGGGGAGGCACAUUUAUGCACUUUGUAUCACCCUCCGAACUCCCCCCACACCUUCCCUUCCCUGGAUUUCAUCACUAGUGGUUGAAGGUUUUGUCCCUUCCUCUCCUCCUUCCCUCUCCCUCUCUGCUUCCUCCUCCAGCCUCCCUUGGGUUUUCUUUUGAUACCAAUUUAUAGCAUUUUUUAUAAAAGCCUUUGAUUUUUAUAAUGGGUGGGACUGUAUCCCUGCCUCACCCCAGGUCUCCGUCUGCCCCGCCAGGUACCCCACAGAGACCAAUGACAUUUUGCCACUUGAAACAAUAAAUAAAGUUUUUUGGGAA
rnacentral:lncRNA from 1 species